rnacentral:rRNA from 1 species
AGCAGCCGCGGUAAUUCCAGCUCCAAUAGCGUAUAUUAAAGUUGUUGCAGUUAAAAAGCUCGUAGUUGAAUUUCGGGGUUAGUAGGUUGGUCAUGCCUCUGGUAUGUACUGGUCUCACUGAUUCCUCCUUCCCGAUGAACCUUAAUGCCAUUAAUUUGGUGUUUUGGGGAAUUUGGACUGUUACUUUGAAAAAAUUAGAGUGUUUAAAGCAAGCUAACGCUUGAAUACAUUAGCAUGGAAUAAUGAAAUAGGACGUUCGAUCCUAUUUUGUUGGUUUCUAGGAUUGACGUAAUGAUUAAUAGGGAUAGUUGGGGGCAUUAGUAUUCAAUUGUCAGAGGUGAAAUUCUUGGAUUUAUUGAAGACUAACUACUGCGAAAGCAUUUGCCAAGGAUGUUUUCAUUAAUCAAGAACGAAAGUUAGGGGAUCGAAGACGAUCAGAUACCGUCGUAG